rnacentral:rRNA from 1 species
GUGUUGUUGGGUAGGGGAGCGUUCUGUAAGCCUGCGAAGGUGUACUGUGAGGUAUGCUGGAGGUAUCAGAAGUGCGAAUGCUGACAUAAGUAACGAUAAUGCGGGUGAAAAACCCGCACGCCGGAAGACCAAGGGUUCCUGUCCAACGUUAAUCGGGGCAGGGUGAGUCGACCCCUAAGGCGAGGCUGAAAAGCGUAGUCGAUGGGAAACGGGUUAAUAUUCCCGUACUGGUGGUAACUGCGAUGGGGGAACGGAGAAGGCUAGGUUGUCCGGGCGACGGUCGUCCCGGUUCAAGCAGGUAGGCAGAGUGAUUAGGCAAAUCCGGUCACUUAAUGCUGAGAUGUGAUGACGAACCACUAAGGUGGUGAAGCAAUUGAUGCCCCGCUUCCAGGAAAAGCCUCUAAGCUUCAGGUUACCAACAAUCGUACCCCAAACCGACACAGGUGGUCAGGUAGAGAAUACUCAGGCGCUUGAGAGAACUCGGGUGAAGGAACUAGGCAAAAUGGUGCCGUAACUUCGGGAGAAGGCACGCUGGCGGUA